rnacentral:rRNA from 1 species
CCUACGGGCGGCUGCAGUGGGGAAUAUUGCACAAUGGGCGCAAGCCUGAUGCAGCCAUGCCGCGUGUGUGAAGAAGGCCUUCGGGUUGUAAAGCACUUUCAGCGGGGAGGAAGGCGGUGAGGUUAAUAACCUCAUCGAUUGACGUUACCCGCAGAAGAAGCACCGGCUAACUCCGUGCCAGCAGCCGCGGUAAUACGGAGGGUGCAAGCGUUAAUCGGAAUUACUGGGCGUAAAGCGCACGCAGGCGGUCUGUCAAGUCGGAUGUGAAAUCCCCGGGCUCAACCUGGGAACUGCAUCCGAAACUGGCAGGCUAGAGUCUUGUAGAGGGGGGUAGAAUUCCAGGUGUAGCGGUGAAAUGCGUAGAGAUCUGGAGGAAUACCGGUGGCGAAGGCGGCCCCCUGGACAAAGACUGACGCUCAGGUGCGAAAGCGUGGGGAGCAAACAGGAUUAGAUACCCGUGUAGUC